AUAUCAAUAAGCGGAGGAAAAGACACCAACAGGGAUUCCCUAAGUAACGGCGAGUGAACCGGGAAGAGCGCAACAUGGGAAUCUGGCCUUUAUGAGGUCCGAAUUGUAAAGUUGCAUAGUCAUCCUAGAAUCAAAGUGUGUGUAAGUACCUUGGAAUAGGUCAGCAUAGAGGGUGAUACUCCCGUAACGCAUAUAAUGAUUUGUAAUGGAUGGCUGUUGGCGAGUCGUGUUGUUUGGGAAUGCAGCACAAAAGGGUGGUAAACUCCAUCCAACGCUAAAUAUAGGCGAGAGACCGAUAGCGCACAAGUA
rnacentral:rRNA from 1 species